UUAUAUUUGUGUCAGUUUUUAGUUAAGUAAAUUGGAAAAUUACAAGCGGUGUGUAUUUCAGUAUGCUAACGUGACGUUUUUCAGCAGGUUUCAUUUGAUUUUAUGAAGCAGAAUUAGUUAACACUCAAAUCAACCCCUCGACAGCAGUUCUACUAAAUGUCCACACGAGGGCAGCAUUGGAUAGGAAAUGAAAGCUAAAGCCUCGUCUGUCUCCCUGAAGUUCGCUACCAAUUGUAAAGAGCAGAGGACAGCUCAGCCGGAGGCGUGUGUCUGUGUGAAACGACUUUAUUUCAUGUGAUAAGUUUGUGGAAGAAGGACGCCAUGUGAGGAGGCGUUUGCUCUUGUUUUACACAGACUACGAGGGACAGCGCUCGUUAAACCAGGUCUGUGAGGAUGAGAAGGUCUCCACAGUCUGGAGUCUGGUCUCUGACAGGCUCAACAUACCUGUCAAUCAACAGGGACUCCUCUACAAAGGCAAGGCGCUGGCAGGUAGGCUGAACAGCGCAGCGCAGCACAGCACAGCACAGCACAGAACAGCUCACCCCUCCUCUCACGCCUCGCCUCACCCCGGGUCAGUGUGGCACAGCCUGCCUGCUCUUCUGAACAAACACUUCAGCCCUGCCGACGCAAUGAGAGUCUGGAGCAGCAACACGAGGUCUGUGAGGAUGAGAAGGUCUCCACAGUCUGGAGUCUGGUCUCUGACAGGCUCAACAUACCUGUCAAUCAACAGGGACUCCUCUACAAAGGCAAGGCGCUGGCAGGUAGGCUGAACAGCACAGCACAGCACAGCACAGCGCAGAACAGCUCACCCCUCCUCUCACGCCUCGCCUCACCCCGGGUCAGUGUGACACAGCCUGCCUGCUCUUCUGAACAAACACUUCAGCCCUGCCGACGCAGUGAGAGUCUGGAGCAGCAACACAAGGAUUACGAGCGGAGGCUGCGCUUGUUGAGCCUGGAUGAUAUGGAGCGGCUUGCGACCCGCAUGCUUCACCCUGAGGCUGUGGAGUGCAUGGAGCUGUCCUUCCUGGACUGAGGAAUACUGCUGCUGCCCUCUCUUCUCCCCCUCUCCCCUCUCCUCUCCCCCUCUCCCCUCUCCUCUCCACCUCUCCCCUCUCUUCUCCCCUCUCCCCUCUCUCCUCUCAUCUGUACUCUCUCCUCCCCCUGUCCUCUUCUCUCCUUAGUUUGUUUAAAAGAAUAGAAGCACACCCAGUGAGCAAGGCAUUGAGCAGCCCCACAUCCCGCUUCACAAUACCGCUACAUAUUGACUGACUGUUCGCAUUGUGUGUGUUUGGUAAGACAAACCACAUUUUCUACUUCUACUUUCUACGAUUGGGCAAGUCAGCGGUUGUUUGAUAACAGAACAUAAAACAUCACAGAGCGGGUUGAACUGCAUUGCUGCAAAUCAAGGCCCUUUCAAAUGUGUACCUUCCCAGCUCAGGUAUUGCUGAGGUAAAGAGACACUUCCUACAGGAGGACAGGACGUUGUCAAGGAGGGGAUGUCGUCACGUGUCCUGAGGGCUUUCUUAAAAACAUUGUUUUAUUAUUUCUAAGCGUACGUUGUUACUGCCUUUUAGCUCUUGAGCAUAAUAAUCUCAAUCCCGUUUGAAAUGACACUAAGUGCAUUUGCAUGGUGCAGAUGAGGGAUGUCGCUUCACUCGAGGCUUGUGUACUGAUGAAGAUGUAGUUUCAGUGUUUAAUGGUUAUCCCCUCACUGUGUGUGUGUGUGUGUGUGUGUGUGUGUGUGUGUGUUCUUGUCUCUCGCCUGUCCAGUGAGGAUGAAGAUGUAGUUUCAGUGUUUAAUGCUCAUCCCCUCACUGUGUGUUUGUGUGUUCUUGUCUCUUGACAGGUCUGUGAGGAUGAGAAGGUCUCCACAGUCUGGAGUCUGGUCUCUGACAGGCUCAACAUACCUGUCAAUCAACAGGGACUCCUCUACAAAGGCAAGGCGCUGGCAGAUGAGCACAGACUGUCACACGACUCCAUCGCUCCCGAUUCCAAGCUGAACUCGUUGUGACGCCCCCAACAGAGAAAGUGUCACCCUCGCAAGAACAGCACUCCCUGUGUCACCCCUCCUCUCAGACCUCACCCCUCACCCUCGCCUCACCCCUCCUGUCACACCUCACCCCUCGCCACACCCCUCCUCUCACACCUCACCCCUCCUCUCACCCAUCGCCUCAACCCUCCUGUCACCCCUCGCCCCUCCUCUCACCCCUCGCCUGACCCCUCCUCUCACGCCUCGCCUCACCCCGGGUCAGUGUGGCACAGCCUGCCUGCUCUUCUGAACAAACACUUCAGCCCUGCCGACGCAGUGAGAGUCUGGAGCAGCAACACAAGGAUUACGAGCGGAGGCUGCGCUUGUUGAGCCUGGAUGAUAUGGAGCGGCUGGCGACUCGCAUGCUUCACCCUGAGACUGUGGAGUGCAUGGAGCUGUCCUUCCUAGACUGAGGAAUACUGCUGCUGCCCUCUCCACCUCUCCCCUCUCUUCUCCCCUCUCCCCUCUCUCCUCUCCUCUUUACUCUCUCCUCCCCCUCUCCUCUCCUCUCCUUACUUUGUUUAAAAGAAUAGAAGCACACCCAGUGAGCAAGGCAUUGAGCAGCCCCACAUCCCGCUUCACAAUACCGCUACAUAUUGACUGACUGUUUGCAUUGUGUGUGUUUGGUAAGACAAACCACAUUUUCUACUUUCUGCUAUUUUAAAAGGAGCCCAGUUUGGUGCAGGAGGCUUGUGGGUAACAGAGUUGUUUUUGCUGGGGACUGCAGCCCUUCCAUUACCAUUGCUCGUAGAGGGGAGAUUGUUUUACUUUCAAGCCUUUUUCUUUAAUAAAUCCGGACGUUUGGAAAUACA